GGGGGGGGCGCCAACGGAGCCCCGGGGAUUUCCCGGAUCCGUUUGGCCCCCUGUCCCUUGCUUCAUAAUAAAAUUGUGGAGACUAAGUGGAAAAAGAUAAAACAAGGGAUUUAAAAGAGCGGGGNNNNNNNNNCCCCCUCCCGGGGGCAAUGCCCCAAAAAAAGAUUAGUUUGACUGAGAGGGCUACAACCCGAACAGACGCCAGGAGAUAGGACCCAGGGGGCCCAGGGGUGAUCCACCCUAAGGGCUCCCCCUGGGCCCCGC
rnacentral:rRNA from 1 species